rnacentral:lncRNA from 1 species
CCCUGGUAACCAUGAUUCUUUUCAAGUAUUUUAUGCAUUUUUAAAUUGGAAUUUUUGUCAUUUUAUUAUUGAAAGCAUUCUUUAAGAAUUCUGGAUACAAGUCUCUUGUGAGACAUAUGUGUCGUGGAUAUUUUCUCCCAGUUUUAUAGCUGUUUAUGGUGAGAAGGAAAGUUCAUUUCCAGUUACUCUGUCAUGGCGGGAAUCAGAGAUCCUCCUCACAUUAUCUAUGUAGUGACUCUCUCCAGAACUUCCACCCUUUAAAGACGGGCAAAAUGAAGAAAGGGCCCUGCAUGGCUUGUAUAGCGAUAUUAGCACCAUCACCCCACGUGCCACCUGCAAAAAGAGAAAAAGAGAAGAAAAUAAACAUGUCAAAGGAAGAAUGUACCCUUCAAACAUCUGAUGGUGUGCUUCAUGGCCUUCUGUAGAGCUCCAAAAGAUAGAAGAACACUGGAGAACGGAAAAUAGAAGAAUGUAGGCAAGGGCGACCACUUGGUGGGGAUGUUGUGAGCGAUUUCAGCACAAGUGGAUGGUUGGACUACAUGGCCUUUAACACGAGAGUCUGACUGUCAUAUUUCUAGGACAUUUUUCAUGAAAUGGAUCCUUCUAAGUCUGUCUCAAAAUAAUCCAGGAUCUCUGCUAUCUUGGGUUGGGCUGGCUUCUUGCCUUAAAAUAUCAUCUUUCUUCCAGUUCUAGGCCAGAUCUCUUCUUUAUCCAGUCUGACUUUCUUGCACCAGUUUACUCUUGCUGACUACUUUGUUCAGGAAUUUCUGGUCACUUUUAAAAU